UUUACCUUUUAAACUCCAUAUAUGCCCUUAUCCCAUUUCUUCCCUUCUGGGAUUAGAAGUUCAAAUACCCCGGGACUGAUAGGUCGGGUCAGGUACUAGCAUAUAAUAAGUAAACGAGACAAAACGAGCUUAAAUACCUUAACGGGGUGGGAAGGGUAGAAUAUGGAGAUGAUGACGAUAAGCUAAUAUCCUAAGGUGACCCCUCUUUGAGGAAUCUGUGCGGGAUAUUGCAUCGAAUGAUCCAUAUAAUAGUUAAACCUAGGACCCUUCUUCUUUAAUUUUCCUUUAUUUAAAUAUUUUUCUUCAAACUAAAGCUCUUUUACUUGUAUCUUUCUUCUUUCAAAAUGGUCAACUUGUUUAUAUUCUCAUGUGUAAACUUUGCUUGCCUAAUCCUACUCUUCUUAAAAUCACAACCAAGCAAGGACGGGAACCACACUAGUGGAUCUUGAGGGGUUCCUAAUACCUUCCCCUCGAGAUAAUCUCAAGCCCUUACCCAAACGAUGGUUUUCCUUCAAAUCCUUCUUCUUUUCUCAAAAAGUAUCCUAAUGCACUAUAAUCAUUAGGUGGCAAAUCUUCAAAAUCCAUAGACCAAAUUCCCCUAAAAGGGAUAAAAGAGUCAUUCCACCCAUAGAGUCUUUCCCUAGAGAGGAAAAAGGGGGCGUCGACAGCAUGGCGACUCUGCUGGGGAUUCUUCUAGGCUUUUACCAUUACUUGCUUUUGUGACUUUAUUGCUUACUUAAUUGCAUUUAUUUUUAGUGAUUGAUUAUUUCAUCACAAUUACUAUCUUGACACUUUUUUUGUGACUUUAUUGCUUGCUUGAUCGCAUUUAUUUUCUAUCCUUGAUCAUUUCAUCACAACUACUAACUUGACUCUUCAUGUCUUUUCUUUCAUUUAAUUGCCUUCUUUAUUACUUUAUUUCGAUACCAUUGUAAUUUCAAGCAAAAAUUGUAGUCAUUUAUCUUAUGAGCGUGAAAAUACAUGUAAUUUGUUUCAUUAUUGUAAUUGCAUCUCUCAACAUCAUAUUCCACUCGUGCCAAAAUAAAUCCUAUAGCAACACUUAUAAUGAGUGGUUGCGCCCUUCCAAUAUUAUAAACCCCUUAAAUGUGGCAAAUGCAUAUUUGUCGUAAAACCAGUCGAUCAACGGUAUAGUCGAUGGUUCCGCGCCUUUCCC
rnacentral:lncRNA from 1 species